CAGUAGCCGCGGGAAUACGAAGGGUGCAAGCGUUAAUCGGAAUUACUGGGCGUAAAGCGUGCGUAGGCGGUUUGGUAAGUCUCGUGUGAAAUCUAUGGGCUCAACCCAUAGUCUGCACGAGAAACUGCCGGGCUUGAGUAUUGGAGAGGUGAGUGGAAUUCCGGGUGUAGCGGUGAAAUGCGUAGAUAUCCGGAGGAACAUCUGUGGCGAAAGCGGCUCACUGGACAAUAACUGACGCUGAUGCACGAAAGCUAGGGGAGCAAACAGGAUUAGAUACCCCGGUAGUCCCUGUCUCUUAUAC
rnacentral:rRNA from 1 species